UACGUAGGGUGCAAGCGUUAAUCGGAAUUACUGGGCGUAAAGCGUGCGCAGGCGGUUGGGCAAGACAGAUGUGAAAUCCCCGGGCUUAACCUGGGAACUGCAUUUGUGACUGCAUAGCUGGAGUGCGGCAGAGGGGGAUGGAAUUCCGCGUGUAGCAGUGAAAUGCGUAGAUAUGCGGAGGAACACCGAUGGCGAAGGCAAUCCCCUGGGCCUGCACUGACGCUCAUGCACGAAAGCGUGGGGAGCAAACAGG
rnacentral:rRNA from 1 species